rnacentral:rRNA from 1 species
AUACAGAGGGUGCAAGCGUUAAUCGGAAUUACUGGGCGUAAAGGGUGCGUAGGCGGCUUGAUAAGUCGGAUGUGAAAGCCCCGGGCUUAACCUGGGAAUUGCAUUCGAUACUGUCAGGCUAGAGUAUGUCAGAGGUUGGCGGAAUUCCUGGUGUAGCGGUGAAAUGCGUAGAUAUCAGGAGGAACACCAGUGGCGAAGGCGGCUAACUGGGGCAAUACUGACGCUGAGGCACGAAAGCGUGGGGAGCAAACAGGAUUAGAAACCCUAGUAGUCC